AUGAUCGCGACAAAGUGUAUGUUCACUAACCUUCGGCGGUUCUACAAAUAACUUCGCCCUUUGCUGUGAAAACUCAACCUUUCGACAAUAAGUCUUCAGUUCGGCGACAGAAUGGAUGUCUACCAAUGCUAACUGCUGUGUAAAAUGUGGUCGAAUGUUGUGCAACAAGAUGUCAAGCUUCGCUUCCUCCGAACUACCGGCCGAAGCUGAAGCACUUGGGUUCGAACCCUCAGCGACACCAACUGGUGCUGCAGUUCCCACAAGUGGACCUUCAAUUUCCGCCAGCAGACUCUCCAACCUGGACUGCAAACUGCACUUCGUAAGCAACAAUGCCUGGUCAUCCUCUUCGGGCUGGAUCCUAGCGAGACGAUGAUAAAUAUGGUACCCUAAUGCCUUCGCUCGGCUCAAGGCAUACCUCUCCUUGGACUCACUAUACUUCGCGACAAGGGACGACAAAUCAUCAAUCUUCCUAGCCACAAUAUCCAAUUCCGUGUCUGCCGCUAGCGAAGUUUCUAAAAUGUCUUCGCUUGGAGCCUCGACAACAAGAACCCGAAGCUGUUUCCUCAGAGCAUCUACUGUACUGGCGGGAGUUUCAGAACGAAUUUUCACCUCAUAAGUCAGCUCAUCUUUCAACAAUGCGUGAAACUGAAUAUUUCUCUCCAUUUUGCUAAAUGUGAAUCUAAUUCUUGAGAAUACUGGUAUUACAAUGCUCUAUUAUGUAAAAGUGUGUACUUUAAACUAUAAAUUUUCUUUUAAAAAAUUCAAACCUUGUUUUAUUUGAGUUACCUUUUAAAACAGU